GACAGAGGGUGCAAACGUUGUUCGGAAUUACUGGGCGUAAAGCGCGUGUAGGCAGUUUCGCAAGUCGGGUGUGAAAGCCCUGGGCUCAACCUAGGAAGUGCACUCGAAACUGCGAGACUUGAGUCCUGGAGAGGAAGGCGGAAUUCUCGGUGUAGAGGUGAAAUUCGUAGAUAUCGAGAGGAACACCGAUGGCGAAGGCAGCCUUCUGGGCCAACACUGACGCUCAUGCACGAAAGCGUGGGGAGCAAACAGG
rnacentral:rRNA from 1 species